rnacentral:rRNA from 1 species
CCUACGGGUGGCAGCAGUGGGGAAUAUUGCACAAUGGGCGCAAGCCUGAUGCAGCCAUGCCGCGUGUGUGAAGAAGGCCUUCGGGUUGUAAAGCACUUUCAGCGGGGAGGAAGGCGUUAAGGUUAAUAACCUUGUCGAUUGACGUUACCCGCAGAAGAAGCACCGGCUAACUCCGUGCCAGCAGCCGCGGUAAUACGGAGGGUGCAAGCGUUAAUCGGAAUUACUGGGCGUAAAGCGCACGCAGGCGGUCUGUCAAGUCGGAUGUGAAAUCCCCGGGCUCAACCUGGGAACUGCAUUCGAAACUGGCAGGCUAGAGUCUUGUAGAGGGGGGUAGAAUUCCAGGUGUAGCGGUGAAAUGCGUAGAGAUCUGGAGGAAUACCGGUGGCGAAGGCGGCCCCCUGGACAAAGACUGACGCUCAGGUGCGAAAGCGUGGGGAGCAAACAGGAUUAGUACCCGAUAGUC